rnacentral:lncRNA from 13 species
UGUAAAGGAGGUCCUUGCUUCUCCUUUGCCUUCCGCCACGAUUGUGAGUUUCCUGAGGCCUCCUAGCCCUUCAGAACUUUACUGGAGAAUCUAAUUCAAGUUCAUGCCCUGUCCACAAGCCUCUGUGAGCAGUUCACAAUAGAACCAUGCCUAUUACAACACAUUCUCCGAUAGCACAGGUACCUCCUUGGAGACCCUCAUAAAACUUACAAAAC